rnacentral:miRNA from 1 species
CCAUGGGUGCGACUUGGUAAG